GAUGAACGCUGGCGGCGUGCCUAAUACAUGCAAGUCGAGCGAACAGAUAAGGAGCUUGCUCCUUUGACGUUAGCGGCGGACGGGUGAGUAACACGUGGGUAACCUACCUAUAAGACUGGAAUAACUCCGGGAAACCGGGGCUAAUGCCGGAUAACAUUUAGAACCGCAUGGUUCUAAAGUGAAAGAUGGUUUUGCUAUCACUUAUAGAUGGACCCGCGCCGUAUUAGCUAGUUGGUAAGGUAACGGCUUACCAAGGCAACGAUACGUAGCCGACCUGAGAGGGUGAUCGGCCACACUGGAACUGAGACACGGUCCAGACUCCUACGGGAGGCAGCAGUAGGGAAUCUUCCGCAAUGGGCGAAAGCCUGACGGAGCAACGCCGCGUAAGUGAUGAAGGUCUUCGGAUCGUAAAACUCUGUUAUUAGGGAAGAACAAAUGUGUAAGUAACUGUGCACGUCUUGACGGUACCUAAUCAGAAAGCCACGGCUAACUACGUG
rnacentral:rRNA from 1 species